AAGAGGUUCAAUUACUUCGAAGGGAAACACAGCAGCUUCGACAGUUAUUAUGACCAGACUAGCUAAAAGUCUUGUCAUUACGUAUUCUUUUAGUUUUAGCCAUGUACGCAAUGCUGUUUUAGGAGAUUUGUACUGACAGUUGUGUAGUGAGUAGCGAGUGCGGAAGUGUUAUUGUGUGUUUAUCUAAUUGUGGGCGAAUUUGGGGGUUUAUUUUACCCUAAUA
rnacentral:misc_RNA from 1 species